UUGUGCCCGCUAUUUUCUAAAAUCUAAAUAUAAGUGCGGUUUGUUUUUAAGUACAAAUUAACAUAAUAUUAUAAAUUAUACAACUAUAAUCUCUGUCGUAAUGGAUGUUGAAACCGUAAAAGGUCGACCUCGGUCUAAGAAGCAAUGCACGUUUUAACUUAACCUAAUACAAGAAAGUAAAACAAUUAAUAAGAAAGCCACCAACGCCACUAGCUAUAAAUGAAAAAACGAUGAGUGGAUUUGCUUGGCGCAGCGACUAAACGCCACGGCUACCACUUGUCCCAGGAUAUUGCCGCAGCAACUUCGUCUAAAAUGAAAGAAUUUAAAGAAGAAUGCUCGUAAGAGAAUUAGCAAAG